CAAAUGCCUUGUUUGCCUCGCAAUAGAUACAUCACUGGUGCAGGGCCAUAAUAAGAGCCCAGUGGGCCUGGUGCUGACAAUUAUGAUAGACCUAAUUAUAGAAUCGUAUCCACAGGAAACACUAAAACACUCAUACCUCCCAAGCGUCAUGUACAUGGCGGAGGUGGUGAUGGAGGGAAACUCGCAGGAAAAAGAAAACACAUAAGAUAUG